CCUACGAGUGGCUGCAGUGGGGGAUAUUGCACAAUGGGGGGAACCCUGAUGCAGCGACGCCGCGUGGGUGAAGAAGCGCCUCGGCGCGUAAAGCCCUGUCAGCAGGGAAGAAAAUGACGGUACCUGAAGAAGAAGCCCCGGCUAACUACGUGCCAGCAGCCGCGGUAAGACGUAGGGGGCAAGCGUUAUCCGGAUUUACUGGGUGUAAAGGGGGCGCAGACGGCGAUGCAAGCCAGGAGUGAAAGCCCGGGGCCCAACCCCGGGACUGCUCUUGGAACUGCGUGGCUGGAGUGCAGGAGGGGCAGGCGGAAUGCCUGGUGUAGCGGUGAAAUGCGUAGAUAUCAGGAGGAACACCGGUGGCGAAGGCGGCCUGCUGGACUGCAACUGACGUUGAGGCCCGAAAGCGUGGGGAGCAAACAGGAUUAGAUACCCGAGUAGUC
rnacentral:rRNA from 1 species